rnacentral:rRNA from 1 species
AUUGAACGCUGGCGGCAGGCCUAACACAUGCAAGUCGAGCGGAUGAACGGUGCUUGCGCCUGGAUUCCGCGGCGGACGGGUGAGUGUUGCCCAGGAAUAUCCCGGGCAGUGCGGGAUAACGUCCGGAGACGGCCGCUAAUACCGCCUGCGUCCAGAUGGUGAAACUGGGGGAUCUUUGGACAUCACGCUCUCUGAUGAGCCUAGGUCGGAGUUGCUAGUUGGUGGGGUAAAGGCCUACCAAGGAGAGGAUCCGCAGCUGGUCGGAGAGGAGGAUCGGUCACACUGGAACUGGGACACGGUCAAGACGCCUACGGUAGGGAGCAGUGGGGAAUAGGAGGCAAAGGGCGAAAGCCUGAUCCAGCCAGGCCAAGUGUGUGAAGAAGGUCUUCGGAUUGGAAAGCACUCUAAGGGGGGAGGAAGCGCAGUAAGUUGAAACCUAGCUGUAUUGACGUUACCGACAGAAUAAGCACCGGCUAACUACGUG